CCUACGGGCGGCAGCAGUGAGGAAUAUUGGUCAAUGGGCGCAAGCCUGAACCAGCCAAGUAGCGUGAAUGAUGACGGCCCUAUGGGUUGUAAACUUCUUUUAUAGGGGAAUAAAGUGCAGUAUGUAUACUGCUGUGCAUGUACCGUAUGAAUAAGGAUCGGCGAACGCCGUGCCAGCAGCCGCGGUAAGACGGAGGAUACGGGCGUUAUCCGGAUUUAUUGGGUUUAAAGGGAGCGUAGGCGGGUUGUUAAGUCAGUUGUGAAAUGUUGCGGGUCAACCGUAAAAUUGCAGUUGAUACUGGCAUCCUUGAGUACGAGAGAGGUAGGCGGAAUUCGUGGGGUAGCGGUGAAAUGCUUAGAUAUUACGAAGAACUCCGAUUGCGAAGGCAGCCUGCUGGACUGUAACUGACGCUGAUGCUCGAAAGUGUGGGUAUCAAACAGGAUUAGAUACCCUAGUAGUC
rnacentral:rRNA from 1 species